GACAGAGGGUGCAAACGUUGCUCGGAAUUACUGGGCGUAAAGGGCGUGUAGGCGGGAAGGCAAGUCGGGCGUGAAAGCCCCAGGCUCAACCUGGGAACUGCACUCGAAACUGCCUUUCUUGAGUGCCGGAGAGGAAAGCGGAAUUCCUGGUGUAGAGGUGAAAUUCGUAGAUAAUCAGGAGGAACACCAGUGGCGAAGGCGGCUUUCGUGG
rnacentral:rRNA from 1 species